rnacentral:lncRNA from 1 species
UUGGCGCGGCGCGGUGACAUGGAAGGGACAUAUACGCACAUCGCUGCAUGGGCUGGAACUGCUGCUGGUUCAGCGUUGAGAGACACGGACACCGCCGGGGAGAAUUAUUAUGCUGCUGCCGCAACUACAACCGAAGGCACCAGUCAACCGAAGGCUGUCAUCAGUUUGUGUUUGUUUGUCUCUGCACGUUGAGAAAUGUGGAAUGCUGCGUUCGGAAAUGGGUCAGAUUUGCGUAGUGGAGGAGGCGGCGGCUGCGGCGGCGGGUACGUGCCAGCGCAGGACUGGGAAUUCGUUUCCUGCUCGCGCCUGGAAAGAGAAAGAGAGCGCGGCAGAGGGAAGAGUCGCAGCCCGUUCAGGACGUUCUCCUCCCCGCCAACAGUCACUCAGUUCUACGAACAGUCUCAUCCUGGAACGGUUGGAACAUCACUGGAGCUUCCUCGGGGACAAGUUCGGGCGCAAGAGCCAGGGACUCAUCACUCCCGCCUGAAAAAGAAGUUUGAACACUUCAAGAAACGCCACGGACAGGACAAGGAAGAAUGGAUACGAGAGAAGGAGAUACUUUUAAGACAAGUUGCUGAGAUACAAGGUGGGGAGAACAGAAGGAUUUUGUUGGAUCUGAAGACUGUAGUGGAGGAGGUGCAGCUAGAGGUGAAGAGAGAGGAGUCGAAGAGGAGCGAGCUACAGCUGCAGUACACUAAGGACAGAUGUGCCUGGGAACUGGAGAGAGCUGAGCUGAAAUGCAGAAUCGCACAGGUAAGACUACACUAUACAACACUAUACUAUAUGAUACUAUAUGAUACAACACUAUAUGAUACAACACUACACUAUACUAUAUGAUACAACACUAUACUAUACAACACUAUACUAUAUGAUACAACACUACACUACACUAUACAACACUAUACUAUAUGAUACAACACUAUAUGAUACAACACUACACUAUACUAUAUAAUACUAUACUAUACUAUAUGAUACUAUACUAUGCUAUAUGAUACUACACUAUACUAUAUAAUACUACACUAUACUAUAUUAUACUAUACAAUAUGAUACUUUACUAUACAAUAUGAUACAACACCAUACCAUACUAUACAACAUGAUACUUUACUGUACAAUAUGAUAUGAUACUAUACUAUAUGAUACUAUACUAUAAAAUACUAUACAAUAUGAUACAACACUAUACUAUACUAUGUGAUACUAUACUAUAAAAUACUAUACAAUAUGAUAUAACACUAUACUAUACUAUAUGAUACUAUACUAUGUAAUACAACACUAUACUAUACUAUAUGAUACUAUACUAUGUAAUACAACACUAUACUAUACUAUAUGACACUAUACUAUGUAAUACAACACUAUACUAUACUAUAUGACAAUAUACUAUGUAAUACAACACUAUACUAUACUAUAUGAUACUAUACUAUGUGAUACAACACUAUACUAUACUAUAUGAUACUAUACUAUGUAAUACAACACUAUACUAUACUAUAUGAUACAACACUUGACUCUACUAUAUGAUACAACACUUGACUCUACUAUAUGAUACAACACUAUACUAUACUACACAAUAUGACACAGCACCAUACUAUACUACACAAUAUGACACAGCGCUAUAAUAUACUAUAUGAUACAACACUAUGCUAUACAAUAUGAUACUAUACUACACAAUAUGACACAUCACUAUACUAUACUAUAUGAUACAACACUAUACUAUAUGAUACAACACUAUACUAUAUGAUACAACACUAUAGUAUACUAUGCUAUACUAUACUAUACUAUACUAUGUUAUACUAUGCUAUACUAUGUUAUACUAUACUAUACUAUGCUAUACUAUAUGGUACAACACUAUACUAUACUAUACUAUACUAUACUACAUGAUACACCACAAUACUAUACUAUACUAUGCUAUAUGAUACUAUACUAUACUAUAUUGUAUUAUACACCACUAUACUAUACUGUACUAUGCUAUGCUAUACUAUACUAUGCUAUACUAUACUAUACAACACUAUACUAUACUGUGCUAUACUAUGCUAUACCAUACUAUAUGGUACAACACUAUACUAUACUAUACUACAUGAUACACCACUAUACUAUACUAUACUAUUCUAUACUAUACUAUAUGAUAGUAUACUAUACUAUAUUGUAUUAUACACCACUAUACGAUACUAUACUACAUUAUACACCACUAUACUAUACUGUACUAUGCUAUACUAUACUAUGCUAUACUAUGUUAUACUAUGCUAUACUAUAUGAUACAACACUAUAGAAUGCUGUACUAUACUAUACUAUACUAUGUGAUACUAUACUACAUGAUACACCACUAUACUAUACUAUGCUAUACUAUACUAUGCUAUACUAUGCUAUACUAUACUAUGCUAUACUAUAUGAUACACCACUAUACUAUACUAUGCUAUACUAUACUAUGCUAUACUAUGUUAUACUAUACUAUGCUAUACUAUGCUAUACUAUAUGAUACACCACUAUACUAUACUAUGCUAUGCUGUACUAUACUAUACUAUACUAUAUGAUACAACACUAUAGAAUGCUGUACUAUACUAUACUAUACUAUAUGAUACUAUACUACAUGAUACACCACUAUACUAUGCUAUACUAUAUGAUACAACACUAUAGAAUGCAAUAGAAUGGAAUGGAAUGCCUACUUCAUCAAUUCGAUCAUAUUGCGUAGCAACAGGCAUGGAUGACAUCAGUCUUUUCUCAUCAUGCAUAGUAUAUAUUAUCACUAUACACUAGACAGUAUUCCAUUAGUCUCUGUAGGACACAGUCAGCCAUCUCCCUCUAUAUAUCUCUCUCUGUGUCACUACUGUAGGACACAGUCAGCCAUCUCUCUCUAUAAUAUCUCUGUGUGUCACUACUGUAGGACACAGUCAGCCAUCUCCCUCUAUAUAUCUCUCUCUGUGUCACUACUGUAGGACACAGUCAGCCAUCUCUCUCUAUAUAUCUCUCUGUGUCACUACUGUAGGACACAGUCAGCCAUCUCCCUCUAUAUCUCUCUCUGUGUCACUACUGUAGGACACAGUCAGCCAUCUCUCUCUAUAUAUCUCUCUGUGUCACUACUGUAGGACACAGUCAGCCAUCUCCCUCUAUAUAUCUCUCUGUGUCACUACUGUAGGACACAGUCAGCCAUCUCCCUCUAUAUCUCUCUCUGUGUCACUACUGUAGGACACAGUCAGCCAU